AAAAAGAAAAGGAGGAAGAAAAUGGCAGUAGAUUUGAUCGAGAUUUACAGAUUUUUUUCAUUUUCUUUCUCUUUCCCUAUCAUCUUAAAAAUAGAUCUUCAUUUAGUUGAUCUCGUUCGAGAGAAGAUGACAAUCAUUUUAGGGGAAAAAUUGAUCGGGAAUUACAUUGAAGUUGAGAGAUCAGUUAAGAAGAGAAGCAAAGAAAGUGUCGUGGAAAUUUGAAAGACUCAACACAAAGAGGAAAUGUGAAUGGAACCCUGAAGAGUUUCUUGGGCUGCUGCAUUGCUUUAUGCUUAACGGUAAGUCUUCGAUAGUGAGUAGGUAUUCAAUGCAACACAAUGGCUCUCGUGUUGAAGUUUUUCAAGCACCGGAUGAUUUGGUCAACUCAACUAAGGAUGCGAGCAAUGAAUAUCGCUACAAAAGCAUUAUUAAUUUCAUGUCAAGGGUCUACCUUGUAACUAAUUGAAAGGAUCGGGUUCUUGUGGCUACAUUUCGAAAAUGCAAGCUUCUGUUCCUUAAACCGGGAUGAGAUGCUCAAGGAAGGCAUACUCUCUGGACCCUACAAGAUAAUUAGAGAGUAUUUGGCGCUACAAUCAAGGUGGAAGCAUCUGGAUUAUUGCGGAGAGACAACACUGCCAAUUUCAUCUGUUCACAUUUAUGAUAAUUUUUGCAGUUUAGAUAAUUAAACAUAUACUCCCUCCGUCUCUAAUUAGAUGAUCUAUACCAUAAAUAAGUGGAGUGAUAGAUUAAUAUUAUUAUAAGAAAUAUGUAAAAUU